rnacentral:rRNA from 1 species
CCAAACAUCCAAUUUGAUUUCGCUAUGCGAUCUUUUUUGGCCCUUGGAUUUUUUGUAUCUUGGAACUUCCACGAUUCGAGGGUAGCGAGAAGCGUGGGUAAAGAUUUAUCGGUUCGGGAGGAGCCUGCGCAAUAUCAGCUUGUUGGUGAGGUAAUAGCUCACCAAGGCUAUGACGUUUAGCUGGUCUGAGGGGAUGAUCAGUCACAAUGGAACUGAGACACGGUCCAU